GUAAGAGGGGGGAAUGUAACGUUUCAGAGCUAUGCUGGAAACAGCAUAGCAAGUUGAAAUAAGGCUAGUCCGUUAUCAACUUGAAAAAGUGGCACCGAGUCGGUGCUUUUUUU
rnacentral:sRNA from 1 species